GAAUACACUUGAUGGGUUGUAGCUGGCUCUUUGGAGCAUGUGCACGCCUGUCUUGAUAUUAUUCAUCCACCUGUGCACCUUUUGUAGUCUUGGGGGCUGAGAGUAGCCAACUGUCGGGAGGGCCACAUGGCCUUACCGGAUGUGAGGAUUGCUGUGCGAAAGCAUGGCUCUCCUCAAAUGGCCGCAAACUCCCUCAAGUUCUAUGUUUUAUUCAUACACCACAUAGUAUGUUUCAGAAUGUAAUCAAUGGGCCUAUGUGCCUAUAAAACUUUAUACAACUUUCAGCAACGGAUCUCUUGGCUCU
rnacentral:misc_RNA from 1 species